rnacentral:rRNA from 1 species
UACGUAGGGUGCGAGCGUUGUCCGGAAUUAUUGGGCGUAAAGGGCUCGUAGGCGGUUUGUCGCGUCGGGAGUGAAAACUCAGGGCUUAACCCUGAGCCUGCUUCCGAUACGGGCAGACUAGAGGUAUGCAGGGGAGAACGGAAUUCCUGGUGUAGCGGUGAAAUGCGUAGAUAUCUGGAGGAACACCGGUGGCGAAGGCGGCAUCCUGGACCGACACUGACGCUGAGGAGCGAAAGCCAGGGGAGCAAACGGG